rnacentral:rRNA from 1 species
AGCGAACGCUGGCGGCAGGCCUAACACAUGCAAGUCGAACGAACUCUUCGGAGUUGGUGGCGGACGGGUGUGUAGCACGUCGGAACGGGCAUGUAGGUUCGGAAUAACUCAGGGACACGUGAGAUAAUGUCGGAUGUGUCCUUCGGGGGCAAGAUUUAUCGCCUUUAGAGCGGCCCGCGUCUGACUAGCUCGUGGGGGAGGGAAAGGCGCACCAAGGCGUCGAUCAGUAGCUGGUCUGAGAGGAUGAUCAGCCACAUUCGGAGUGAGACGCGGCCCAAACUCCUACGGGAGGCAGCAGUGGGGAAUCUUGCGCAAUGGGCGAAAGCCUGACGCAGCCAGGCCGCGUGAAUGAUGAAGGUCUGAGGAUUGUAAAAUUCUUUCACCGGGGACGAUAAUGACGGUACCCGGAGAAGAAGCCCCGGCUAACUUCGUG